GAUGAAGAACGCAGCGAAAUGCGAUAAGUAAUGUGAAUUGCAGAAUUCAGUGAAUCAUCGAAUCUUUGAACGCAUCUUGCGCUCCUUGGUAUUCUGAGGAGCAUGCCUGUUUGAGUGUCAUUAAAUUCUCAACUACACUGACUUUGAAUUGGUGUGGCUUGGAUUUGGGGGGAAAAUUGUUGUGGGCUUUUUGUAUAGUCUGCUCCCCUGAAAUUGAUUAGCGGUACCUUUGUGGAACUGUCUACAGGUGUGAUAAUUAUCUACAUCUUAGACAUCUGCUGGAAUGCUGCUUUCUAAACCUUACUUGAAUUGACAAUCUUGACCUCAAAUCAGGUAGGACUACCCGCUGAACUUAAGCAUAUCAAUAAGCGGAGGA
rnacentral:misc_RNA from 1 species